GUUUCUGUGGUUGAAUACAACGGUGGUUUUUCAAGUCAUUGGUCUCGGUUAAAGCCCGGGCAGAAACU
rnacentral:tRNA from 1 species